UUGGAGGGCAAGUCUGGUGCCAGCAGCCGCGGUAAUUCCAGCUCCAAUAGCGUAUAUUAAAGUUGUUGCAGUUAAAAAGCCCGUAGUUGAAUUUCGGGGUCAAUAAGUUGGUCGUGCCAAUGGUAUGUACUGGCUUUAUUGAUUCCUACCUCUUGACGAACUGUGAUGCCAUUAAUUUGGUGUUGCAGGAAAUCAGGACUGUUACCUUGAAAAAAUUAGAGUGUUUAAAGCAGGCUUACGCUUGAAUACAUUAGCAUGGAAUAAUGAAAUAGGACGUUUGAACCUAUUUUGUUGGUUUCUAGGAUCGACGUAAUGAUUAAUAGGGAUAGUUGGGGGCAUUAGUAUUCAAUUGUCAGAGGUGAAAUUCUUGGAUUUAUUGAAGACUAACUACUGCGAAAGCAUUUGCCAAGGAUGUUUUCAUUAAUCAAGAACGAAAGUUAGGGGAUCGAAGACGAUCAGAUACCGUCGUAGUCUUAACCAUAAACUAUGCCGACUAGGGAUCGGAUGAUGUUAAUUUUUUAAUGACUCAUUCGGCACCUUACGGGAAAC
rnacentral:rRNA from 1 species